GCCUAGUUAGCUUAGUUGGUAGUGCGUCUGCCUUGUAAGCGCUAGGCCGCAGGUUCGAUUCCCGCCCGGGGUG
rnacentral:tRNA from 1 species